rnacentral:lncRNA from 1 species
AGUUUAGUAGUUGGACUUAGGGAACAAAGGAACCUUUAAUAGAAAUUGGACAGCAAGAAAGCGAGCUUAGUGAUACUUGUGAGCCAGGCCAUCACUAAAGGCACCGAGCACUUUCUUGCCAUGAGCCUUCACCUUAGGGUUGCCCAUAACAGCAUCAGGAGUGGACAGAUCCCCAAAGGACUCAAAGAACCUCUGGGUCCAAGGGUAGACCACCAGCAGCCUAAGGGUGGGAAAAUAGACCACUGCCCAGGGCCUCACCACCAACUUCAUCCACGUUCACCUUGCCCCACAGGGCAGUAACGGCAGACUUCUCCUCAGGAGUCAGAUGCACCAUGGUGUCUGUUUGAGGUUGCUAGUGAACACUGUUAUGUCAGAAGAAAGUGUAAGCAACAGUCGACUCUGCCCUGCCUUUUAUGCUGG